rnacentral:rRNA from 1 species
GAUAGUGGCGGACGGGUGAGUAACGCGUGAGAAUCUCCUCUAGGUCGGGGACAACCACUGGAAACGGUGGCUAAUACCGGAUGAGCCGGAAGGUAAAAGAUUAAUUGCCUAGAGAUGAGCUCGCGUCUGAUUAGCUAGUUGGUGGGGUAAGAGCGCACCAAGGCGACGAUCAUUAGCUGGUCUGAGAGGAUGAUCAGCCACACUGGGACUGAGACACGGCCCAGACUCCUACGGGAGGCAGCAGUGGGGAAUUUUCCGCAAUGGGCGAAAGCCUGACGGAGCAAUACCGCGUGAGGGAGGAAGGCUCUUGGGUUGUAAACCUCUUUUCUCAGGGAAUAAGAAAGUGAAGGUACUUGAGGAAUAAGCAUCGGCUAACUCCGUGCCAGCAGCCGCGGUAAUACGGAGGAUGCAAGCGUUAUCCGGAAUGAUUGGGCGUAAAGGGUCCGCAGGUGGCCCUGUAAGUCUGCUGUUAAAGAGUGAGGCUUAACCUCAUA